rnacentral:rRNA from 1 species
GAUGAACGCUAGCGGGAGGCUUAACACAUGCAAGCCGAGGGGUAAAGUUAGCUUGCUAACUAGAGACCGGCGCACGGGUGCGUAACGCGUAUGCAACUUGCCCUACUGAAAAGGAUAGCCCUUCGAAAGGAGGAUUAAUACUGUAUAAUAGAAAUCAUGGCAUCAUGAAUUUUUGAAAGAUUUAUCGCAGUAGGAUAGGCAUGCGUAAGAUUAGUUAGUUGGUGAGGUAACGGCUCACCAAGACGAUGAUCUUUAGGGGGCCUGAGAGGGUGAACCCCCACACUGGUACUGAGACACGGACCAGACUCCUACGGGAGGCAGCAGUGAGGAAUAUUGGACAAUGGGUGGAAGCCUGAUCCAGCCAUCCCGCGUGUAGGAUGACGGCCUUAUGGGUUGUAAACUACUUUUAUCUGGGGAUAAACCUACUUACGUGUAAGUAGCUGAAGGUACCAGAAGAAUAAGCACCGGCUAACUCCGUGCCAGCCGCCGCAGUAAGAC